GUGAAUCAUCAAAUCUUUGAACGCAAAUUGCGCCUUUUUCUGAAGGCAUGUCUGUUCGAGGGCACCAUUUAACAAAUAAUGCGCAUUUCGUGUGCACACGUUGGUGAGCUUUCCAUAUUUAUGUAUUAUUUUUUGUUGCGCAUAAUAAACAGCGCGAUGCUUUUUUUCAGCUCGUGUGUAGUAAGAUUUUUUCUUGAUUUGGGUGUGAAAAGCGUGAUCUCGCAUUGGGUGUUGCAAUUUUAGUUAAUCCCUG
rnacentral:misc_RNA from 1 species